rnacentral:lncRNA from 1 species
AAAAAGUCCAUAUAAAGCACGAAAGCGUAUUGUUUUAGGUCUUGAUCGUGUAAAUUAUGCUAGAUCGUUACCGACCAUCUCCGAGAUAUGACUUCCCUUCCGGAACAUCAUCCACAGGUGGCAAUGGAAUUUGAAAAUGAAAAUUUCACUGUCCGAAAGAACAGCAAAUGUCUUUCUUAUAACACAAUUGAUCAUGCACAAAAACAGAAUAACACAAUUGUGAAGGGUGAUGUUGGUGCCAUAGGAUUAACCGAAGAUCCCUUUUAGACAAAUGGAUGGUAGCUGGACCAGGAGUCAGUAUACUAGAAGAUGAAUUUGAAAGAUCUAGUGGUUUGGGUCAUUCUACAACAGACGAACGACAUACUGAAGACUCUACGAAAACACAAAAGGAUUUCUUAAAACAGCUUUAAAGGCAUUGUAAAGUGAUGACGAGUCGUCAGAUUUGUAAAAAAAAUACUCCAUUUAGGAAAUUGUUGAUUCGGGAACAGGUAAGAUAUGUAAAUAAACUUCAAGAUAUUGGUCCAAACAAAACGAAGAUCUUUGAAGCAAAUGCAAAACGAAGGAGAACCUGCUUUUUAUAACCAAAUAAAAAAGAACAACUUCCUAUUUUGGCCACA